ACGGGAAUGCCUUAGUACGGCGAGUGAAGCGGCAAAAGCUCAAAUUUGAAAUCUGGUACCUUCGGUGCCCGAGUUGUAAUUUGGAGAGGGCAACUUUGGGGCCGUUCCUUGUCUAUGUUCCUUGGAACAGGACGUCAUAGAGGGUGAGAAUCCCGUGUGGCGAGGAGUGCGGUUCUUUGUAAAGUGCCUUCGAAGAGUCGAGUUGUUUGGGAAUGCAGCUCUAAGUGGGUGGUAAAUUCCAUCUAAAGCUAAAUAUUGGCGAGAGACCGAUAGCGAACAAGUACAGUGAUGGAAAGAUGAAAAGAACUUUGAAAAGAGAGUGAAAAAGUACGUGAAAUUGUUGAAAGGGAAGGGCAUUUGAUCAGACAUGGUGUUUUGUGCCCUCUGCUCCUUGUGGGUAGGGGAAUCUCGCAUUUCACUGGGCCAGCAUCAGUUUUGGUGGCAGGAUAAAUCCAUAGGAAUGUAGCUUGCCUCGGUAAGUAUUAUAGCCUGUGGGAAUACUGCCAGCUGGGACUGAGGACUGCGACGUAAGUCAAGGAUGCUGGCAUAAUGGUUAUAUGCCGCCCGUCUUGAACAACGGACCAAA
rnacentral:rRNA from 1 species